CUUAGACCCAGCAGAUGUGGGAAGAACAGCAAGUUUUGUCUUUAUAUCAGCUACAAAUUAAUGGAUCUCCUCUACUGGUUAGGUGAAGUCGUUGCAGAUGAAAGCGUGGCAUGAGCAUAAUGCUGUUCAACCACAUCUACUGUUUAAACACCAAUGGGUAUACAUGAUUCCAACAUAUUUGUAUGCAGUACAAAGGCUGGCUAUUCGGUCCAUUAUGCAAAAGUCUUUGAUUUGUGGUCACACCCACAAUGAGGGAGAUGCACUUCACAGCAUCAUUGAGAGAGCAGUUAAAGAGUGCUAAGAAGUCAGGGCCAAUUUAUUUCCUAAUCAAUACAUAUCAGUCAUCCUUAAUGCAAAAAAGAAGGGAAAUCCGUUACAUCUUACAGAAAUGGGUUUUUCAGAUUUCAAUGACAUUAAAGCUUUGCAUGAUGAGAUGGCUCCUUGCAUGGGCAAGGACGUUGACGGGAGCAUUUUCAGAGCGUCCGAAAUUAAAUUAUUUCCAUGUGAAAAGGGAAGUGAUGUGUUUCAGUAUAAGAACAGCUACAAACAGUCUGGGUGGGGACAAGUUCAGUUCAAAGGGAGAAAGAGACAUUUAAGAGUGAAUGUAGAUGGGAGUAAUUUGGAUCUGAAACCUGCUUACACUACAAAAAUGACCCUCUCAGGAAAUAAAAUUCAAGAUCUAAAGAAUUUGGUUAACAGCAACACCAUUUCUAAAUAUUACAAGGCCUUCUAUGAUCCCCUUUCUACAUAAAUGUAAUUUGUUGCUUUUAUGUCAUUUGGAAAUUCUUAAUUUCACUUAUUAUAUUAUUUUA